CAGCCGCCACGGUAAUACAGAGGGUGCGAGCGUUAAUCGGAUUUACUGGGCGUAAAGCGUGCGUAGGCGGCUUCUUAAGUCGGAUGUGAAAUCCCUGAGCUUAACUUAGGAAUUGCAUUCGAUACUGGGAAGCUAGAGUAUGGGAGAGGAUGGUAGAAUUCCAGGUGUAGCGGUGAAAUGCGUAGAGAUCUGGAGGAAUACCGAUGGCGAAGGCGACCACCUGGACUGAUACUGACACUGAGGUGCGAAAGCGUGGGGAGCAAACAGGAUUAGAUACCCGGGUAGUCCCUGUCUCUUAUAC
rnacentral:rRNA from 1 species